GUAGCUCAGUAGAGCAUGGCACUUGCAACACCAGGGUUGUGGGUUCGAUUCCCACC
rnacentral:tRNA from 1 species